GACUUAAAAAAUCCGUCGACUUUUAAAAUCGUGAGGGGUUCAAGUCCCUCUAUCCCA
rnacentral:tRNA from 1 species